AGCGAACGCUGGCGGCAGGCCUAACACAUGCAAGUCGAACGAACCUUUCGGGGUUAGUGGCGGACGGGUGAGUAACACGUGGGAACGUGCCUUUAGGUUCGGAAUAACUCAGGGAAACUUGUGCUAAUACCGAAUGUGCCCUUCGGGGGAAAGAUUCAUCGCCUUUAGAGCGGCCCGCGUCUGAUUAGCUAGUUGGUUGAGGUAAUGGCUCACCAAGGCGACGAUCAGUAGCUGGUCUGAGAGGAUGAUCAGCCACAUUGGGACUGAGACACGGCCCAAACUCCUACGGGAGGCAGCAGUGGGGAAUCUUGCGCAAUGGGCGAAAGCCUGACGCAGCCAUGCCGCGUGAAUGAUGAAGGUCUUAGGAUUGUAAAAUUCUUUCACCGGGGACGAUAAUGACGGUACCCGGAGAAGAAGCCCCGGCUAACUUCGUG
rnacentral:rRNA from 1 species